UCAUAACCAUCGUGCAUUUGCGUGGGGCCAUUCUGAAGCUGGAGUACCCGCUGGUUGCCUGGCAGUCAUAUUUCUGGGAUUACCCGUGACGGGGUAGAAUUCAGCUGCCUAUUCUUAAAGUGGGAGCUCAUAUUCUUGGUUUGAGACUGCCUCUUUUCAAAGAUGUGUGAUUUCAUCAGCCUCUAAUAACAACCCCAAGAGAUAGGAGAAACAGGUGUUAUUACUGAUCCGGAAAUGGAAGGAAUUGAUAUGGUUUAACCCACGAUCAUCCAGCAUAUGAGUCAGUAUCAGAGCCACAGACUCCUGACCCUGAAUACACCACCCCCUCAUCGCUCACUAGAGGGGCCGAGAGAGAAUCCUCAAGCAGAUUCCACGCCCAAUGCAGGGUCGUCGUGGGGCUUGAUAUCAGGACCCUGAGAUCAUGACCUGAUUGGAAAUCAAGAGUCAGAGGCUUAACCGACUGAGCCACCCAGGCGCCCCAACAAAAGUACUCUUUAAUUGUAAGUUCUUUUUCUUCCCGGUCCAAUGGAUUGACUUAUGUGCUACACUGGGUCUGUCCUGUGUCUGUGUUUUAAUUCCAUGACUAGACACUAAAUUUGUUGAGGGCAGGGAUGAUCAUUCCUUCUAUUUCAUUUGUGUUAACCCUGUUAUGGAUGACAGUGCUCUGUACACUGCAGGUACCCAGUGAAUUAUAUAGCUGACAAAUGAUUACUUAUUUCUGGUAUUACAACAAGAUCUCAUAAAAUAAACACGACAAACUCGUUGUUUGAAGUCCUGAACUUUCUAGGUCAAUCUCGGAAAAGGAAGUUCUUGACUGCCAUAGUAAUAUUUGUAGGCAUAUUAUAGGUAGGUGGGUGGGCCUUUUGGAAAUUGGCUGAGUAAUCCCACUUCAGAGUAAGUAACACGCAAGAGCUGUAGCUCUAUGCUCUCCCAACUGUGGGCUUCCGACCACGCAUAGUGCCACCUGGGAUACUUAUUAAAAAAUCAAAUUUCUAAGACCCACUCAGAUCCUAACCACAGUAUCUGGAGGUUGUAGCUCCAGGCACCCAUAUUUUUUUAAAUUUUAUU